UAUGAACGUUGUCAAACGGUAAUGACUCUAUAAGUACUCCCUUCUUCUUCUUCGGUGAGACAUCUGAAUACUCUAUUCUUAUUCAAUCUCCCCAAUUUCAGUUUAUAUCUUUUCAAAUGUGGAAUACACACUGUUUUUAUCUUCUAGUUAUGUUAUGUCACUUGAGUUCUCACUCGAACUUCUGACUUCUCUGUAAUUCUCAUUAGCCAGGAGAGAAACAAACAUUAAGGCAUAUACAUAUACAAGAGUGGUAGUGAAGGAACAGAACAGAGCCUAGGGCUGUGUCCAGAGUUUUCCAUCUUCUGCUUGAGUACCCUUUUGAAGUUAAGGAUUGAAGGCUGAAGCAUAUAUGUUUUUGUUUUUUUAUUUAAUAUUGUGUAGAUGUGUGUAUAGGGUGUGGUUGAAAAAAUGGUGACAUGUGACAUGUGUGUGCAUCAUAGUAAUAGUAGUAGUAGUAGGUGUGUAUAGAGUGAAUGUGCG